rnacentral:rRNA from 1 species
GUCCACGCCGUAAACGUUGGGCGCUAGGUGUGGGAUCCUUCCACGGAUUCCGUGCCGCAGCUAACGCAUUAAGCGCCCCGCCUGGGGAGUACGGCCGCAAGGCUAAAAACUCAAAGGAAUUGACGGGGGCCCGCACAAGCGGCGGAGCAUGUUGCUUAAUUCGACGCAACGCGAAGAACCUUACCAAGGUUUGACAUGCAGGGAAAAGCCGUAGAGAUACGGUGUCCGUAAGGGUCCUGCACAGGUGGUGCAUGGCUGUCGU